rnacentral:rRNA from 1 species
UACGGAGGAUGCGAGCGUUAUCCGGAUUUAUUGGGUUUAAAGGGUGCGUAGGCGGGCAUUUAAGUCAGCGGUAAAAAUUCGGGGCUCAACCCCGUCCGGCCGUUGAAACUGGGGGCCUUGAGUGGGCGAGAAGAAGGCGGAAUGCGUGGUGUAGCGGUGAAAUGCAUAGAUAUCACGCAGAACCCCGAUUGCGAAGGCAGCCUUCCGGCGCCCUACUGACGCUGAGGCACGAAAGUGCGGGGAUCGAACAGG